rnacentral:rRNA from 1 species
CAGCAGCCGCGGUAAUACGAAGGGGGCUAGCGUUGUUCGGAAUUACUGGGCGUAAAGGGCGCGUAGGCGGCGAUCAAAGUCAGGCGUGAAAUUCCUGGGCUCAACCUGGGGGCUGCGCUUGAUACAGGCAGUCUAGAGUGAGGAAGAGGGUUGUGGAAUUCCCAGUGUAGAGGUGAAAUUCGUAGAUAUUGGGAAGAACACCGGUGGCGAAGGCGGCGACCUGGUCCUUUACUGACGCUGAGGCGCGAAAGCGUGGGGAGCAAACAGGAUUAGAUACCCGGGUAGUCCCUGUCUCUUAUAC